AUUGAACGCUGGCGGAAUGCUUUACACAUGCAAGUCGAGCGGCGAGCGCGGGGCAACCUGGCGGCGAGCGGCGAACGGGUGAGUAAUACAUCGGAACGUGGCCCAGACGUGGGGGGAUAACUACUCGAAAGAGUGGCUAAUACCGGCAUACGAUCUGAGGAUGAAAGCGGGGGAUCGGCAAGACCUCGCGCGUCUGGAGCGGCCGAUGGGCAGGAUUAGGUAGUUGGUGAGGUAAAGGCUUACCAAGCCUGCGAUCUGUAGCUGGUCUGAGAGGAUGGAUCAGCCACACUGGGACUGAGACACGGCCCAGACU
rnacentral:rRNA from 1 species